AUACUUGCACUUUGCCUUCUUCAGUACGCCUCCAAUAAGGAUCUUGUGGUAGCUGUCCCACACAUCUGAUCUUGGUGCCAUAGCCUUCCUCUUCUUGACUUCCUUCUUCUGGUCCUUCUCCUGCUCCUCAUUCUUGUUCUGCUCCUCAUUCUUCUCUUCACCUUCAGCUUCAGAUCUCGCAACUUCAACAUCUGAAUCCUCCAUCUACAAAUCAAGCAAAGCAAAUGGAUUCAACAGCAACAAAUAAUAUGGGCUCAAAUAAUUACUGAAACGGACAACAAAUCGAGGGAGAAGGGAUCUCAAACUUACAUUGGAGGAGUGCUUGGUUGGUGGCGCCAUUGUACUACUAGUCCGAGCGCUGGUUGCUUGCCCAUUCCCGUUCCCCGCGGAGCCUAGUUGCUGGAGCCUGGAGGCGGAUGAGGACGCGGCAACGCGCGGACGACGAUCGGCGGUCGGCGGUAGCUUUGGUGAUUAGCGGACGAUGGGCGCCGGGCGGAUCCGCCGUCCGCAGAUGGGGAUGCCGGACGUGGGCAGGCGGCGGACGGGAGUCACGGGACGGUGAUGGGAGGCGGCUCUGGAGUGACGGGUGAAGCGGACGGGAGUUAGGAGUCACGGGACGGGAUGGACACUAGGGUCGCUAUAUUGUUGUGGACUCAUGGGCCGACAGUUUAUGGGCUGAAUGGAAUGGGAUUAUGGGAGGAUGGAGGAAUGGCCUGGGCGCCUACCGCCAGUCCAUCGGUUAAAGCUCUAAUUCGGUUAACGGAAACCCAAAACUGACCCGAUCACCGACCACCGAAUAAUGCCAGUUUUUUAACCGAACUAAACACCGAAACUAAGCUCUAAUUCGGUUCGGUUCGGUUCGAUUAAUCGGUUUCGGGUAAUUUUUGCCCAGGGCUAUUGACGGCCGUGAGCCCUCGAUACCGUGCGUCUGGUCUCCUCUUUUCUUGAUUUACACUCAUUCUGGGUCAAUCAAAGGUGGCGAUCGAGGAGAAUUGCUCUCGCUAAAACAAUGACU
rnacentral:lncRNA from 1 species